GCCAGCGUGGUGUAGUGGUUUGAAUGUUGGACUAUGACUUUGAAGACCAGGGUUUGACUCUCUGCUUGAGCA
rnacentral:tRNA from 1 species